UACGGAGGGUGCAAACGUUGCUCGGAAUCAUUGGGCGUAAAGCGCACGUAGGCGGCACAGCAAGUCGGGUGUGAAAGCCCUCGGCUUAACCGAGGAAGUGCAUUCGAAACUACUGAGCUUGAAUACUGGAGAGGAUCGCGGAAUUCCCGGUGUAGAGGUGAAAUUCGUAGAUAUCGGGAGGAACACCAGUGGCGAAGGCGGCGAUCUGGACAGAUAUUGACGCUGAUGUGCGAAAGCGUGGGGAGCAAACAGG
rnacentral:rRNA from 2 species